rnacentral:rRNA from 1 species
AACGAACGCUGGCGGCAGGCCUCAAACAUGCAAGUCUAGGGGGUGUAGCAAUACAUCACCGGCGGACGGGUGCGUAACACGUGGGAACAUACCUUUCGGUACGGAACAACUGCGGGAAACUGCAGCUAAUACCGUAUACGUCCUAGCGGAGAAAGAAUUUCGCCGAAAGAUUGGCCCGCGUUCGAUUAGCUAGUUGGUGAGGUAAUGGCUCACCAAGGCUCCGAUCGAUAGCUGUUCUGAGAGGAAGAUCAGCCACACUGGGACUGAGAC